GGGCGAUUAGCUCAGCUGGCUAGAGCACUACCUUGACAUGGUAGGGGUCAGAGGUUCGAGCCCUCUAUCGCCCACCA
rnacentral:tRNA from 1 species